UACGUAGGGGGCGAGCGUUGUCCGGAAUCAUUGGGCGUAAAGCGCGUGUAGGCGGCCCGGUAAGCCCGCUGUGAAAGUCCAGGGCUCAACCCUGGGAUGCCGGUGGAUACUGUCGGGCUCGAGUCCGGAAGAGGCGAGUGGAAUUCCUGGUGUAGCGGUGAAAUGCGCAGAUAUCAGGAGGAACACCAAUGGCGAAGGCAGCUCGCUGGGACGUGACUGACGCUGAGACGCGAAAGCGUGGGGAGCAAACAGG
rnacentral:rRNA from 1 species